CAUAUACUCAGUAUUGAAACUCCCUUUUGUCUAGAACAUAUACUCAGUAUUGAUGUUUUUCAUCUCAUUAAAUCUUUUUACCUGUAUUUGAAUCCUAUUUAUUGUUAUACAAUACAAGUGCUUCUGAACAGUUUAUAAGAACUGGAUGUCAAAGUGCUUUAUAUAACAGUUUAUGAGAUUAAUUAUUAAUGUAUAAUAUUCUGCCAUUUGCAGAAGUGACAGUGUGAAAAGCUGGUCAGACCUCUAAUUUAAGGAGCAGAUUAAUUGACUCCUUUAUAAAAGGCUUCCCAGUUGCUAAUGGGCGGAAAAGAAUAGACCAUGGCAAUCUGUCACUUUCAACCUCUGCAGAUCUGAGAGUACUGUCCUUCUUGCAGUCGGUAAAAAUUUGUCAUAAGUAGAAUCUGUGUUAAAUUAUGAUAAUGUCUGUCUACUACAUCGUUAACACUGUUCAUCAAGUGCAUUUUGCAUACCGAUAGUCCAUUGGCCAAUCAUGCUAUUUUACCGAGAUUUCGCCUAAUAGUUUGGAUGCAGCUAUGGCGGGUGUAGCGCCAGGCAGGGUAAGCUUACUCUUCCGGACACCUGUUACCACUGUUUGUCGUGUAUUUUGUACACGGUGAACAGUCCAUAUGCUGAUUACACUGUUUUGCUUUAUUACACUAUUUUGCCUAUACCGUUUUUUUAGGACUUCGAAUUUUGUCUAAUGGUUUGGAUUGUUCGUACUUGGUUUUAUUUUAUUUAUAAUAGUCUAACAAUCAGGGAAAUAUAGAGAAAAAAAAAUCACUAUUGAAAGAUUGAAGUGAUGUUAACAACCACUUAACACAAAUGCUUUUAUUCUAUGAAACAAAGUGUGAACCUGCACUCAAUCCUUCAAUAUCAGUAUUUUAAACCAACUUUCUACCGGUAUAUCAAAUUUACUCAAUGUCACCCACAUCUUGAAAGCCUUCUUUACUUCUUAAAAAUUGCUAUAUUUUAAUGUCAUGUUAUUUUCCAAGAAAAGCUUGGUAUAUUUUUGAUUAAAACUAGUAAUUAUUAGAUCUAUAUAAGCAUAAUUUUAAAUACGUAUAUAAAUAUUUUCUCAUAAUGGUGCAAUAUUAUUUUUAUUAACAAACAUUGAAAUGUGGUUAUAUUGUUGUCACCCUGCCCAUUGAGUGUGACGCUCUAGAGACUAAAAUUAUCAUCUGAUGAAGCCUGCCGGAGAAAUCAACCUUGAUCAAUUUUUAUACGCCCACAUGGAAAUGUGGUCGUAUAUUGCCGUUGCCCCCGUCCGUCCGUCCAUCGUCCACAAUUUCUUGUGAACACUCUACAGACUACAUUUAUCAACCGAUUGUUUUGAAAUUGAUAUAUGUUGUUUGCAUUAGUGAGACGAAGAAGCCUAUUUAAUUUCAAUAACUUCCGUUAAUUUCUUCUGGAGUUAUGGCCCUUGUUUCACUUUGUUGAAUCUUGUGAACGCUCUAAUGACAAAAGUUAUCAACCGAUCUGUAUGAAAUUGAUAUGCAUCAUUUAAAUUAGUGAAAUGAAGAAGCCUAUUGAAUUUCAGCAGGUUCCGUUAAUUUCUUCUGGAGUUAUGGCCCUUGUUUCACCUUGUGAACGUUCUAACGACUAAAGUUAUCAACCGAUCUGUAUGAAAUUUAUAUGCAUCAUUUAAAUUAGUAAAACAAAGAAGCCUAUCGAAUUUCAGCAAUUUCCGUUAAUUACAUCUAGAGUUAUGGCCCUUGUUUCACUUUGUUGAAUCUUGUGAACACUCUAAUGACAACAGUUAUCAUCCGAUCUGUUUGAAAUUGAUAUGCAUCAUUUAAAUAAGUGAAAUGAAGAAGUUUAUUGAAUUUCAGCAAUUUCCGUUAAUUACACCGUGAGUUAUGGCCCUUGUUUCACUUUGUUUUACCUUGUGAAUGCUCUAACGACAAAAGUUAUUAUCCGAUCUGUAUGAAAUUUAUAUGUAUCAUUUAAAUUAGUAAAACGUACAAGCCUAUUGAGUUUCAGCAAUUUCCGUUAAUUACAUCUAGAGUUAUGGCCCUUGUUUCACUUUGUUGAAACUUGUGAACGCUCUAAUGACAACAGUUAUCAUCCGAUCUGUUUGAAAUUGAUAUGCAUCAUUUAAAUUAAUGAAAUGAAGAAGUGUAUUGAAUUUCAGCAAUUUACGUUAAUUACGCCGUGAGUUAUGGCCCUUGUUUCACUUUAUUUUACCUUGUGGAUGCUCUAACGACAAAAGUUAUUAUCCGAUCUGUAUGAAAUUUAUAUGUAUAAUUUAAAUUAGUAAAACGAACAAGCCUAUUGCGUUUCAGCAAAUUUAUGUUAAUUACAUCUUGAUUUACUUUGUUGAACUUUGUGAACGUUCGAACGACAAAAGUUAUCAUCCGAUCUGUAUGAAAUUUAUAUGCAUUAUUUGAAUUAGUAAAACGAAAAAGCCUGUCGAAUUUGAACAAUUUCUGUAGAUUACUUCCAUAUAUGUGACAACCCUUGUCGACUGCUCGGACGAGUUAGCUGCUGUGGGCGUAUGUUUAGUUGCCUGGCAACCUAUCUUAAAAAUUGAUGAUCGAACUUUUUAAUUAGUCUCUUAUGGUCAGGGCUCUUUUAGUUUUCAAGCCCCUGUUUUAUUGAAUAAUCUAAUAUUUAGUUUAAGAUGUUGCACAUCUCUAUGUUCUUUUAAACAAACAACUUAAAAUACAUUUAUUUAAACAAGCUGUUAACUGACACUGUUAACAUGUCCAUAAUAUUUUUUUGAUUACAUUUUAUGAUUACAUUGUCACUUUGUAAAGUGCCCCUGAACAUGUGAUAUAAAAGGAUGCACUAUAAAUAUGCUAUAAUAAUAAUAAUAAUAAAAUACCUACAAAAGAAAUUAUGAAUAUGUAACAAAUUUUGUGAACUGCUGGACAGCUUAGCUGCUGUGGGUGUAUGUUUUGUUGCCUGGCAACAUAUCUUUAUUUUUGAUACAACUUCUUAGAAAUUUAUGUCUACGAAAUAAAUUGUAUAAAUAUAUUGUAAAUAUGUUAAGUUUAAUAAAAUGUAUGUAUUUGAAA